rnacentral:rRNA from 1 species
CCUACGGGAGGCAGCAGUGGGGAAUAUUGGACAAUGGGCGCAAGCCUGAUCCAGCAAUGCCGCGUGAGUGAUGAAGGCCUUAGGGUCGUAAAGCUCUUUUACCAGGGAUGAUAAUGACAGUACCUGGAGAAUAAGCUCCGGCUAACUCCGUGCCAGCAGCCGCGGUAAUACGGAGGGAGCUAGCGUUGUUCGGAAUUACUGGGCGUAAAGCGUACGUAGGCGGUUAUUCAAGUCAGAGGUGAAAGCCCGGGGCUCAACCCCGGAACGGCCUUUGAAACUAGGUAGCUAGAAUCUUGGAGAGGUCAGUGGAAUUCCGAGUGUAGAGGUGAAAUUCGUAGAUAUUCGGAAGAACACCAGUGGCGAAGGCGACUGACUGGACAAGUAUUGACGCUGAGGUACGAAAGCGUGGGGAGCAAACAGGAUUAGAUACCCUGGUAGUCCACGCCGUAAACGAUGAUAACUAGCUGUUCGGGCACUUGGUGCUUGAGUGGCGCNGCUACGACAUUAAGUUAUUCCGUCCGUCGGGGUAGGUACGGUCGGCGAAGAAUUAAAACUUAACAAAGGAAAGUUAGUACGGCGUGAGACGUGCGAAGGACGACGACGAGGGAGGUAGG